GGCGGGGUUCCCGAGCGGUCAAAGGGAACAGACUGUAAAUCUGUCGGCGGACGCCUUCGAUGGUUCGAAUCCAUCCCCCGCCACCA
rnacentral:tRNA from 1 species